UACGGGGGGGGCAAGCGUUGUUCGGAAUUACUGGGCGUAAAGGGCGCGUAGGCGGCCCUCUAAGUCGGACGUGAAAUCCCUCGGCUCAACCGGGGAACUGCGUCCGAUACUGGAGGGCUUGAAUCCGGGAGAGGGAUGUGGAAUUCCAGGUGUAGCGGUGAAAUGCGUAGAUAUCGUCAGGAAUGCCGGUGGUGAAGACGGGUGACUGGGCUGGUUCUGACACUGAGGCACGAAAGCGUGGGGAGCGAACGGG
rnacentral:rRNA from 1 species